CCUACGGGAGGCAGCAGUGGGGGAUAUUGCACAAUGGGGGAAACCCUAAUGCAGCGACGCCGCGUGUGGGAAGACGGUCCUCUGGAUUGUAAACCACUGUCCCCAGGGACGAAGAUGACGGUACCUGGGGAGGAAGCUCCGGCUAACUACGUGCCAGCAGCCGCGGUAAUACGUAGGGAGCGAGCGUUGUCCGGAAUUACUGGGUGUAAAGGGAGCGUAGGCGGGACUGCAAGUUGGGUGUCAAAUCUACCGGCUCAACCGGUAGCCGCACUCAAAACUGCAGUUCUUGAGUGAAGUAGAGGCAGGCGGAAUUCCUAGUGUAGCGGUGAAAGGCGUAGAUAUUAGGAGGAACACCAGUGGCGAAGGCGGCCUGCUGGGCUUUUACUGACGCUGAGGCUCGAAAGUGUGGGGAGCAAACAGGAUUAGAUACCCCAGUAGUC
rnacentral:rRNA from 1 species